GCUGAGGGUUUGUGCAUUUCAUGGAGGAUAUAAUUCCUUCAAAUAGUUUUUUCGAUUGGUUUAUUUUAUAAAAGCCGGGAAGUAGCUCAGUUGGCUAGAGCGCCGCCUUACAAAGGUGGAGGCCGCGGGUUCAAAUCCAGCCUUCUCGACUUUUAUAACCAAUUAAAUUAAUUUAUUCCAAACAUUAAGUUUGGAUCUUCCAUGAAAUGCAUAAGCGGUAGGAGAGUAUUGUACUCUGCGAUGAAGCGGAAGGCGUGAGCCACCGUGGAGCGUGUACAAGUAAGAAUGUUGGCACAAGUAACCGCAAGACAGGUGAAAUCCCUGUCCGCCGAAAGACUAAGGUUUCCGCUGCAACGACAAUCGACAGCGGGUUAGUCGGGCCUAAGGAGAUGGCGAUAGCCGCAUCCGAUGGACACAUGGUUAAUAUUCCAUGACUUUAUUGCAAGCGAUGGAGGGACGGAGAACAUAAUUCCCCACGCAUUAUUGGAUUUGACGCUCGUACUGGUAGAGAGGAUAUUUAGGAAAAUCCGGAUAUCACAUACUCUCGAAAGCGCGACGACUGGAACCCUCGGGUUCCAGAAGGGGGAAGAAUAGUCUUCCAAGAAAAUCUUCUAGCAUUCAAUUGCAAUGAAUCCGUACCGUAAACCGACACAGGUAGUCAGGUCGAGUAGACCAAGGCGAACGAGUGAGUAAUCCUCAAGGAACUCGGCAAAAAAGCAGCCGUAACUUUGGAAUAAGGCUUGCCCAUGUUUAACUACAUGGGCCGCAGCGAAAGUAUCUCUGGCGACUGUUUAUCAAAAACACAGCUCCCUGCGAAAUCGUAAGAUGAUGUAUAGGGGGUGACACCUGACCAAUGCCAGAAGGUUAAAUAUCGGUGGUACACAGCAUACUGUGUAUGACGAAAGUCGUACUUAGCAUGCUGUGUGCUGGCUGAUAUAAGCCCUGGUGAAUGUCGGCCGUAACUAUAACGGUCCUAAGGUAGCGAAUUACCUUGUCGGGUAAAUUCCGACGCGCACGAAUGGUGUAACGACUGGAGAACUGUCUCGAGGAUUAGCUCGGUGAAAAUACAAUACCGGUGAAGAUGCCGGUUACCUGCAGUUAGACGAAAAGACCCCGGGAGCUUUACUAUAGCUUCACAUUGGGCAUAUUGGAAUUGUGCGUAGCAUAGGUGGGAGAGGUUAUGCGUAUGGUCUUGGCUAUACGAUACUCGUCAGUGAAAUACCACUCUCAAUUUUGAUAUGUCCUAACCUGGACGAAAAAACGUUCAGAGACAGUGUGUGGUGGGUAGUUUGUUUGGGGCGAAUCCCUCCUAAAUUGUAACGGAGGGGCCUAUAAAGGUCAGCUAGGCGUGAAUGGAAACCAUGCCGAUAGUGUAAUGGCACAAGCUGGCUUGACUGCAAGACGUACAUGUCGAGCAGGUGCGAAAGCAGAGCAUAGUGAACCGACCUAACGCUUUAGAUGCGUGGGAAGAUCAACGGAUAAAAGCUACCCCGGGGAUAACAGGCUAGUAUCGCCCGAGAGUUCAUAUCGACGGCGGUGUUCGGCACCUCGAUGUCGGCUCAUCUUAUCCUGGGGCUGGAGAAGGUCCCAAGGGUUUGGCUGUUCGCCAAUUAAAAAGAUACGCGAGCUGGGUUCAGACCGUUUAGGAGUUGUCAUUAUUGUAUUUAUAUAAUUAUAAUGACUCCUAUACAGUCUGAAUCAAGUUCUGAAAUACGACACAAUCAGGUUUUUUCGUUUUAAUAAAUAAUAAAAAUAGAUAGUACCAAUCAUUGCGGCGGCAUUAUAUGGCGACAUAUAUUGCAUAUUCAACUGAUAUCGGAAAAGUCCCAAUCAUUUUAUGAUGGAUAAUUCCGAGGGAAGGUUUGCAAAAACCACCCGUAGAGACUGAACGUUGAAACACUCACGAAGUGUAUGCUACAGUCCGAUCCCUUUGGUAAC
rnacentral:rRNA from 1 species